GCUUGACGAGGCACGGGCUGUCUUAGUGUUGAAUGUUUUAUUGAAUUUGGUCUUUGAGUUAAAAUUCUUAGAUGUUUUUGUGGGACGAGAAGACCCUAUAGAGUUUGAUUUGGUUUAUUUACUUAUUGUUGUUUGUUUGUUUUUGGUGAGUGGGCUUUUUGUUUUGUUGGGGUGAUGGGAGGAAUGUGCUUAACUACCUCUUAGUUUUGGUUAUAUUGAUUUAUAGUUGUUGAUCCAUUAU
rnacentral:rRNA from 1 species